rnacentral:rRNA from 1 species
AAAAGCUCGUAGUUGGAUCUCAGUUCGAGACGGAUGGUCCACCUACCGGUGGUUACUGUCUGUUCUCAACACCAGCCGGUUUCCCUGGAUGAUCUUCACCGGUUGUCUUGGGUGACCGGCAAGUUUACUUUGAAAAAAUUAGAGUGCUCAAAGCAGGCGCGACGCCUGAAUAAUGGUGCAUGGAAUAAUGGAAUAGGACCUCGGUUCUAUUUUGUUGGUUUUAGGAACACGAGGUAAUGAUUAAGAGGGACAGACGGGGGCAUUCGUAUUGCGACGCUAGAGGUGAAAUUCUUGGACCGCCGCACGACGAACUACUGCGAAAGCAUUUGCCAAGAAUGUUUCCAUUAAUCAAGAACGAAAGUUAGAGGUUCGAAGGCGAUCAGAUACCGCCCUAGUUCUAACCAUAAACGAUGCCAGCCAGCGAUCCGGCUGUGUUCCUCAAAUGACACGCCGGGCAGCUUCCGGGAAACCAAAGCUUUUGGGUUCCGGGGGGAGUAUGGUUGCAAAGCUGAAACUUGAAGGAAUUGACGGAAGCGCACACAAGGAAUGGGGCCUGCGGUUCAAUUUGACUCAACACGGUGCAACUCUCCUGGCCCGGACACAGGAAGGAUUGACAGAUUGAGAGCUCUUUCUUUAUUCUGUGAUAGGUGGUGCAUGGCCGUUUCUGGUUGGUGGAGUGAUUUGUCUGCUUUAUUGCGAUAACGAGCGAGACUCUAGCCUACUAAAUAGACGGUACGAUCCUUCUGAGUCGUACGUUCUUCUUAGAGGGACAGGCGGUGUUCAGCCGCACGAAACAGAGCAAAAACAGGUCAGGAUGCCCUUAGAUGUUCGGGGCCACACGCGCGCCACAUUGAAGGAAUCAGCGUGUGCUUUCCCUGUCCGACAGGAUUGGGUAACCCGUUGAAACUCCUUCGUGCUGGGGAUAGGGGUUUGUAAUUAUCCCCCUUGAACGAGGAAUUCCCAGUAAGCAUGAGUCAUCAGCUCGUGUUGAUUACGUCCCUGCGCUUUGUCCACACCGCCCGUCGCUAUUAUCGAUGAAUUUUGGAGUGAGAUCUUCGGACUGGUGCCCGGACUGGACUUUCUUCGGUUCGAGCCGGAGUGCCGGAAAGAUGACCGAACUUGAAUAUUUAGAGAAAAAUAAAAGUCGUAACAAGGCUUCC